UGAGAACCAUGUCUGCUCUGAG
rnacentral:miRNA from 1 species